GCAAAAUUGUACUGGUACUGUGACUUUGACCCUGUUUGAUAUGAAGCCUAAUAGAUCUCAAGAAAUCUGCAAAAUAACUCUUAGUAGCUCAAGGUGGUCAAUUCAGAAGGGAUUCUCAAACCAUAUCAGAAUCAUUUGUUGUUCCUAUGUCGGAACUUUAAUCUAAUCCUUCUGAAUUUUCUAAGGAUGAAAUGUGUUAUACUUGAGACAAUUCAACGCCUGUAUCUAAUGCUAUUCACAGUAAUCAGAAAUCAUCAUCCUCUGGUGAAGUUAAGCGUAACCAUCGUGAAGUCUAUGAGGUAGACGACUCAUUAAAUUGUUAUUCAACAAAAUGCCGGAUAGGGGAUUAACAUAUAUUUACUUAUGCAACUUUCUUGAUUGUACAAUGUUUAACAUUA